UAUUGCACAAUGGGCGAAAGCCUGAUGCAGCAACGCCGCGUGAGGGAUGACGGCCUUCGGGUUGUAAACCUCUUUUAGUAGGGAAGAAGCGAAAGUGACGGUACCUGCAUAAAAAGCACCGGCUAACUACGUGCCAGCAGCCGCGGUGAUACGUAGGGUGCAAGCGUUGUCCGGAAUUAUUGGGCGUAAAGAGCUCGUAGGCGGUUUGUCGCGGCUGCUGUGAAAGCCCGAGGCGUAACCUCAGGCUUGCAGUGGGUACGGGCAGACUAGAGUGCGGUAGGGGAGAUUGGAAUUCCUGGUGUAGCGGUGGAAUGCGCAGAUAUCAGGAGGAACACCGAUGGCGAAGGCAGAUCUCUGGGCCGUAACUGACGCUGAGGAGCGAAAGCGUGGGGAGCGAACAG
rnacentral:rRNA from 1 species